AGUGAACGCUGGCGGUAGGCCUAACACAUGCAAGUCGAACGGCAGCACAGUAAGAGCUUGCUCUUACGGGUGGCGAGUGGCGGACGGGUGAGGAAUACAUCGGAAUCUACUUUUUCGUGGGGGAUAACGUAGGGAAACUUACGCUAAUACCGCAUACGACCUACGGGUGAAAGCAGGGGAUCUUCGGGCCUUGCGCGAUUGAAUGAGCCGAUGUCGGAUUAGCUAGUUGGCGGGGUAAAGGCCCACCAAGGCGACGAUCCGUAGCUGGUCUGAGAGGAUGAUCAGCAACACUGGAACUGAGACACGGUCCAGACUCCUACGGGAGGCAGAAGUGGGGAAUAUUGGACAAAGGGCGCAAGCCUGAUCCAGCCAUACCGCGUGGGUGAAGAAGGCCUUCGGGUUGUAAAGCCCUUUUGUUGGGAAAGAAAAGCAGCAGGUUAAUACCCCGCUGUUCUGACGGUACCCAAAGAAUAAGCACCGGCUAACUUCGUG
rnacentral:rRNA from 1 species